rnacentral:rRNA from 1 species
GAGUUUGAUCGUGGCUCAGGAUGAACGCUGGCGACGUGCCUAAUACAUGCAAGUCGAGCGAAUGGAUUGAGAGCUUGCUCUCAAGAAGUUAGCGGCGGACGGGUGAGUAACACGUGGGUAACCUGCCCAUAAGACUGGGAUAACUCCGGGAAACCGGGGCUAAUACCGGAUAAUAUUUUGAACUGCAUGGUUCGAAAUUGAAAGGCGGCUUCGGCUGUCGCUUAUGGAUGGACCCGCGUCGCAUUAGCUAGUUGGUGAGGUAACGGCUCACCAAGGCAACGAUGCGUAGCCGACCUGAGAGGGUGAUCGGCCACACUGGGACUGAGACACGGCCCAGACUCCUACGGGAGGCAGCAGUAGGGAAUCUUCCGCAAUGGACGAAAGUCUGACGGAGCAACGCCGCGUGAGUGAUGAAGGCUUUCGGGUCGUAAAACUCUGUUGUUAGGGAAGAACAAGUGCUAGUUGAAUAAGCUGGCACCUUGACGGUACCUAACCAGAAAGCCACGGCUAACUACGUGCCA